rnacentral:rRNA from 1 species
UACGUAGGGUGCAAGCGUUAAUCGGAAUUACUGGGCGUAAAGCGUGCGCAGGCGGUUAUGUAAGACAGAUGUGAAAUCCCCGGGCUCAACCUGGGAACUGCAUUUGUGACUGCAUAGCUAGAGUACGGUAGAGGGGGAUGGAAUUCCGCGUGUAGCAGUGAAAUGCGUAGAUAUGCGGAGGAACACCGAUGGCGAAGGCAAUCCCCUGGACCUGUACUGACGCUCAUGCACGAAAGCGUUGGGAGCAAACAGG